rnacentral:rRNA from 1 species
CCUACGGGAGGCUGCAGUGAGGAAUAUUGGUCAAUGGACGAGAGUCUGAACCAGCCAAGUAGCGUGAAGGAUGACUGCCCUAUGGGUUGUAAACUUCUUUUAUAUGGGAAUAAAAUGUUCCACGUGUGGGAUUUUGUAUGUACCAUAUGAAUAAGGAUCGGCUAACUCCGUGCCAGCAGCCGCGGUAAUACGGAGGAUCCGAGCGUUAUCCGGAUUUAUUGGGUUUAAAGGGAGCGUAGGUGGAUUGUUAAGUCAGUUGUGAAAGUUUGCGGCUCAACCAUAAAAUUGCAGUUGAAACUGGCAGUCUUGAGUACAGUAGAGGUGGGCGGAAUUCGUGGUGUAGCGGUGAAAUGCUUAGAUAUCACGAAGAACUCCGAUUGCGAAGGCAGUUCACUGGACUGCAACUGACACUGAGGCUCGAAAGUGUGGGUAUCAAACAGGAUUAGAUACCCGAGUAGUC